AUUGAACGCUGGCGGCAGGCCUAACACAUGCAAGUCGAGCGGCAGCAGGGAGAUUGCUCCUGGAUACAGCGGCGGACGGGUGAGUAAUGCAUAGAAACCUGCCUGGUAGUGGGGGAUAACGUGCGGAAACGGGCGCUAAUACCGCAUACGUCCUGAGGGAGUAAGUGGGGGAUCUUCGGACCUCACGCCAUCAGAUGAGCGUAGGUGGGAUUAGCAGGUUGUGGGGUAAAGGCCGACCAAGGCGACGAUCCGUAACUGGUCUGAGAGGAUGAUCAGUCACACUGGAACUGAGACACGGUCCAGACUCCUACGGGAGGCAGCAGUGGGGAAUAUUGGACAAUGGGCGAAAGCCUGAUCCAGCCAUGCCGCGUGUGUGAAGAAGGUCUUCGGAUUGUAAAGCACUUUAAGUUGGGAGGAAGAGCAGUAAGUUAAUACCUUGCUGUUUUGACGUUACCAACAGAAUAAGCACCGGCUAACUUCGUG
rnacentral:rRNA from 1 species